rnacentral:rRNA from 1 species
AAUCACUUGUCUUUUAAAUGAAGACCCGUAUGAAUGGCAAAACGAGGGCUUAACUGUCUCCUUUAUCCAGUCAAUGAAAUUAACCUCCCCGUGCAGAGGCGGGGAUAUACACAUAAGACGAGAAGACCCUAUGGAGCUUUAGACACCAGACCGACCAUACCAACCACCUUAAAACAAAAUAACGAACCUAAUGGUUACCGUCUACAUGUCUUCGGUUGGGGCGACCAUGGAGAAAAACACAACCUCCACGUGGACUGAGAGCAAACACCCACAAUCCACUCCCAAAACCAAGAGAAACCCCUCAAAUAAACAGAACUUCUGACCUUAAAUGAUCCGGCAAAGCCGAUCAACGAAACAAGUUACCCUAGGGAUAACAGCGCAAUCCCCUUUAAGAGCCCAUAUCGACAAGGGGGUUUACGACCUCGAUGUUGGAUCAGGACAUCCAAAUGGUGCAGAAGCUAUUAAAGGUUCGUUUGUUCAACGAUUAA